UUUUGAGUAGAUUUCCUGUUAUAAAUCUUACUUCAGUAGCAAUUGCAAAUUGUGUGAUGCAUAUUUUCUUGUGCUGAAAAGAUCAAAGCAAACCCAAACACACCCUGAGAAGUCACAGAUUCUUGCUUCUCAAAACCCCCCAUUAACCCCUCAACAACUACCUUCAUCUUCUGCCCCAACAUCCCCAUUUAUCAUCUCUAACUACCCCACAAUUACUCAUCUCUGUUCAUCAAUUACAGCAGACUCCGAGUGCAUGCAGAUGGUCAAAAUAUAGUAAAAUUGAUUGUUGAUCGAUUGUUCUGUUCAUCUGCGCCAACAUCCCCAUUCCUCAUUAAUCUUCAAUUACUCCAACUACAUCAGACAACUACUCCAAUCUCUGUUAUCAUUAAUCUUCAAUUACUCCCCCAUCUACCACCCUUACAUCUGCCCUAUAUCUACCAACAUCAUCAGCUUCAAGUAACAUCACCGUCUCUGUUAUCAUUAAGGUUAACAUCAGCUUCAAGUAACACCAGCGGCCUUUCUUCUUCCACAGUCCAACAGCAGGUCGCAUUUACAAAGGUAAUGGCAGAACAGUGGAAUGAUCUCCUUUGGCUAAUUUGAGCAAAGACACAUGAAAACUGGGAUGCAUCUGCGCUUCUUCUGACUAAACAGUUGACCCUGCACUAACUGGUGCUCAUCACUAAGCAGCUCAUUCAUGAUUUCCAUGGAACACAAGAUUAGGGCUUCACCCUUGUUCAACCUACGGCGGCUGUUCAACCUCAAUUUCGCAAUGGCGAACGUGUUUAAUGUCAAGUUCUUUAAGAAUGGAAACUGGCAGCACAACGGUGAAGGGUACAAAUAUGUUGGGCAAACUAUCGCCACAGCACUUAAACCACUUCCGAUGGACAUCAACUAUUCGCAGUUUCUCAGCGCAUUAACCAUUGCGUUGGACAUUCAACCAGGCACUCAUUUUGAAGUGACGUAUCCAAGAAAAACAAGUGCAAAAGUUGAAUUUCCGAUUCUCAUAGACAACCCCCAAGCGUUUGAAGAUAUCAAGGAAUUUGUGGGGGGGGGGGGAUAUUCCACGGUCCUCCCAACCGCCGAGGUGAUCCCACCUCGCAGACCGCCACCCAGCAAGCCUGAGUCUGGGGGUAAAUCCGCUACCGUAGGGGCAUUGGGAACGAGCAAGACUCGAACCCGCCACCUCCGGGUUAGAAUGCGGGCUGGUGGCCAUUGGGCUGACACCCAAUGGUUAUAUCAAGGAAUUUGUGUCCGAGUGGGGACAUGAACCAAUUCCCGUCCACGUUGCAUGGCUCUAUAUAUAAGUGGGUAAAAAUUGUUGUUAUGGUUAUGUUUUAACAAUUAAGUUAUGGUUAUGUUAUUGUUAUGUAAAACAUGUUAAUUAUUUUUUCCUUUUGUUAAUUUAGGUUUUUUUUUUGUUUAUAAAA